UGCAGAAAGUCAGAUUUUGGUUGGGUGUGUCUGCUCGGGUUGGUAUGAAUCCUUGUGUUCCGGUGGCAAUCAGCAGUGGCAAGGCUACAAGCAGGGACACCACCCAGGCAAAGGAAAUGUUCCCUGAUGCAGAUGCAAAGGGGAACCAGAUGGCGCUGUACAGCUCCACAGGCAUGCCGAUGAGGAGCACCAACAGAUCAGAGCAUGCCAGGCUAACCAUGUGGUCAGUGACGUUCUUCUGAAGUCACUCAGAGGCUGGCAUGGGAAACGUCAACAAUUGGAUAUCACAUACAUGGAUCAACAAUGUUCACUUUACAAGACAAUACGGAAAUCUGACUUUUGGAUUAAUAAACAGCAGAACACAGACCUCUUAAACAUACGUUUUAAUAGUGCACUAACACUAAAGAAUAAAAACAGAUGUAAUAAAAAUUACAUGAUUAUACAAGAACUUCUUAAUAAAACGGCAUCUACGAUCACAUUUUUUUAUUUCAUUUUCAGAUUGUACAAACAUCUUUAUUCAUUCAUAAAAACAAAAAAAUCCAACAACAAAAACCAAAAAAGAACCUGAGGAAGAAAACAAUUAUAUUCAUGAUUUAACAAGCACCAUUGAUGAAAGAGGACAAUAAAGAAUAGUAAAGAUGGAAAACAGUUUCUUAUGAUUGAGUCUUCUUGAAAAUCUCUGUUAAGACAUUAUGAAAGAAGUUGGGUUGCAUUUUCAAACAGGUCCAAUUUGCUCACUUACUCUUACCUGUCUUUUGAAAAGUCAACAAAUUCAAUCAGAUAAAAAAUGAUGAAUAAAACAGCAUCAUAAAAUGAAGACCAUGGACUUAACAUUCAACAAGAGAGACAAUUUUCUUCAUUUGUAGUGUUUACAAGCUGGACUACAAGACAGACACUGAGUAUUAGGCUAAGAAAAGUGCUUUUUGUCAACACACGAGAUCACAAAAACAGCAAAUACACUUAGUGUUCUCUUAUGAAAAGAAAAUUUUAACAGAUACAUCAGCCCUACUUGUGUUUUAUAAUCUGCACCCCAAGUAAAAUAGAAUGUUUUUGAGUUGAUACAUUUACUAUGAUACAUAGUUAAUAAAUAUUUCUUCAGUGGUUAUUGAAGUUUCACAAAAAUACACAACUCUUUGUUCAUGUUGUGCUGUACUAUAUAAAGAAUCCAGGAGAUUGUUCCCACAGCAAGGCAUUUUAGUUUACCCCUUACUACCAUGUAUGUUCAAACUAAUCAAAGAAAUUGAAAAGGCAUAGGAGGUUUUUCUUGGCAGACGGAUGUGAUAAUUAAAUCAGAGUUGUUUUCUAAAAAAAAAACAAAAAAAA